UGGGACUGGAGAAAAGGCAGGGUCCUGGCUACAGCAACUGGACACUCAGACAGGAUCUUUGAUAUUGCCUGGGAUCCGUUCCAACUUCACAGGCUAGUAAGCUGUGGGGUGAAGCAUAUCAAGUUCUGGACCUUGUGUGGGAAUGCCUUGACACCCAAGCGGGGGAUCUUUGGGAAGACCGGGGACCUGCAGACCAUUCUGUGCCUGGCUACGGCAAAGGGAGAAGUGACAUACUCUGGAGCGCUGAAUGGGGACAUUUA